GUUCGGUAUGAGAAAUUUCCGGUAUCGGUAUACCGAAAAAAUUAUACCGAUAUUAUCGGUAUACCGGUUUUCCUUUGAUAAUUAUAAAGGAAAAUUCUUUAAUGGAAGUUUGAAGGAAAUUUUGAGUAAUUCUAAAAGGGAAAACGAUAAAUUCGAAGCUGUUUCGAACAUGUUUCGAACGACAUGCACGUACUCAGUGUAAAAUCUCACUGAAGUGGAAAUUCUAAAUCAUUGCAGUAGAAAGUUCUUUGAAUUGCCAUUCAUUAGUAAAAUAAAGGUUAUGGUUUCGCCAUAUAGUUGGUAAAUUUAACACGGUAUACCGAAAAAUUCCGGUAUGUCCGAAAUUUCGGUAUAUCGGUAUGGUUGAAUAUCCAGUGUCGAUAUACCGAUAUUGAUUUAAUACCGAUAUUUUCGGUAUAUCGGUAUA